rnacentral:rRNA from 1 species
UACGUAGGGGGCAAGCGUUGUCCGGAUUUAUUGGGCGUAAAGAGCGUGUAGGCGGCCAUGUAGGUCCGUUGUGAAAACUCCAGGCUCAACCUGGAGACGCCACUCGAGACUGCUAUGGCUAGAGUCCGGUAGGGGACCACGGAAUUCCUGGUGUAGCGGUGAAAUGCGCAGAUAUCAGGAGGAACACCGGUGGCGAAGGCGGCUUGCUGGGCCUUACCUGACGCUGAGGAGCGAAAGCGUGGGGAGCGAACAGG